CCAUGGGCAGCCCAUUGUC
rnacentral:siRNA from 1 species